GGAAGCCUAAUGUAUGCUCAGGUUUGCACAAGGCCUCAUAUUGCAUUUGAUAUUGGAGUGUUGGGAAGAUAUCAGAAUAAUCUGGGUAUGGACCAUUGGAGAGCUGCAAAGAAAAUUCUAAGGUACCUUCAGGGGAUGGAGGAUUACAUGUUUAUGUACAGACGAAUCGAUAAUUUGGAGGUAAUUAGCUACUUUGAUUCAGAUUUUGCUUUCUGUGUUGAUUCAAGAAAAUCAACAUCUGGAUACAUUUUCAUGUUUGCUGGUGGAGCUGUAUCAUGGAGAAGUGCAAAGUAGACUUUGAUUGCUACUUCUACUAUGGAGGCUGAGUUCGUUUCAUGUUUUGAGGCUACAUCGCAUGGUGUAUGGAUGAAGAAUUUCAUUUUUGGACUUAGAAUUGUAGAUUCUAUUUCUAGGCCAUUAAAGUUAUAUUGUGAUAAUCAGCUGCAAUUUUUAUGGUUAAAAACAACAAAAGUGGUAGUCGAAAUAAGCAUAUCGACAUUAAAUAUUUAGUCAUAAGAGAACGUGUUAAAGACAAAACAAUCGUCGUUGAGCACAUAAAUACUGAAUUGAUGAUUGUUCAUCCUUUGACGAAAGACAUGCCACUAUUCAAGUUCAAGGAUCUAGUAGACCGUAUGGGACUUGGUCUUUUAGUUUGAUUUCAUUGUAUGUGACAAUGUUAUUUUCUGAAAUUCUAAUUCAGUAAUGAUAAUUUCUCAUAUUUGUUUUAUGCACAUUUAUUCAUUGUUAGAGAAAUAUCAAUCAAGUUUGGACCUAGAAUAAACGUAGGUUUAUGUUUAUUCAUUAAGUUUUAUGGACUAAAAUUAAGAUACAAAAUACAUUGUGAUAUAUGGAAGAUAAUACUCAUUCUAAGAGAAACUAUAGCCAUGAUUCAUACAGUUGUUUCUUACUAUAGGAAAUAAUGGAAUAUAUUAGGCCAAGUGGGAGAAUGAGGAAAUCUUUCAUUUCUAAUUAAGGAAAACCAUGUGUGGCCUAAAUCUUCCGUUAAUCAAUGAUUUGCACGUCCAAUAAUAAGUUUGGCCAAUUUGGAAGUUGCUGUGAAUGGUCCAUAAUGCCUACAAUUACGGAAAAGAAUCGGUGAUGGACCGAGCUGAUAAAAAAAACAUUGUUUGGGUCCCUAAUGCCAUUCCGUCUACUUGUUUAUAUUACACCAUCAUUCAGAGGCUGGAAGGAGGCAUUAGAAGCUCUCAAACUCGUAGAAUAGCAGCUACGUUUUCGGUUCCGAAAGGUUUUCAUGUCAACAAUGGCUGGAGGUAAUUCAAUAGUCCAAACUUCCGCGUUUGAUCAUGUUUACAGUUAGUCAUAUAUAUAAGCAUACAUCUAGGAUGCUUACAAUUACGUACAUACAUGGUUAUUAUAACCAUAAAGGAUAAUUGUAAAUAAUACACUGGUCUAUGCUCUGAGAUGGCUAAUCCUUUCCAUAAGUUAGCCUCCUCCAAUUUGAAACAAAUUGAAGGAUGUGGUAAUUCUGUCAGAUAUUCUGGGAUAUCAAUCACAAAUAAAGGGAAACACAAUGGAUUAACAGAUACGGCAUACUGGGAAGAUAUUGAUUCUUUCUUUAAUAACUAUGAAUUCUUACAUGAGAAUUCCAUUGAGUUGCUGUGCAUGUCAAAGGCUCAAGAGCUGCAGCAAAGACAAAAUCAACAACGCAACCAAAACGUUGGAUCACUUGGAUGUUCAUCAGCUCUACAAAUUCCACCGCUUGAGAAUGCCCAAACUGGGUUAUUACCUCCAACUGAGAACAGAGAGUCCAUGGAGUCGUCUUUUUUUUUUCCAGAUUCCUUAGAUCACAUCAGUAAUUCUCCAAGGAGAUACAAAAAAUUCAAUGGAGAAAGUUUUGCAAGUACUGAAGCUAGGCAGAAACUAUCAACUGAGCAGUUUCUGAGGCUGGCGGGAGAAAGAUUCGUGAAGUUUUCCUCUCAGAAAUUUAUCAAUCUGAACAUAUUUAUGCAUCUGUAUAAUUCUUCUCUGUCGAGUCUGUCUACCAAAGAUAAACAAGAGUUCCAGGCUACAUAUAAGUUAUUCUUUUAGUCCUUGAGAAGUACACAGGACAUGAUGGAGUUGCUUCAUAGCAGUUUGACUGUGGAUACUGAGGUGUUUUCCCAUUGAGAAAAGGAUGAGUAGGAGAGUAGGUUACUGUUGAAUUACUCUUAUCACGGAUUAGUCAUUUUGAUCAAUGUAUCAUUUUGCUUUUUCUGUUUAAAUUGAGUAUUUUCCUUGUAUUUGGACAAAAGGUGAAAGGGAUUGAAGGAACGGAGUGCGCUGUAAGUGAUAGGUUUUGUUUCCCAGCUGGGAGUCCUAAGAUUUAGAGGGUAUGUAGGUGUUAAAAGGUGAAUGAGAUGAAGGAAGACUUUCUCUUUGUAUCAUUACUAAUUUUACGACAUACAAUGAAAUUUGGAGAUGAUAUGGAACUUCUGAGGCUAUUAUAUGUUUGAAGUGGUCUUAACAAUUUUACGACUACUAUGACACAUUUUUAAGAAUUUUGCAUACGAUAAGAUUGUUGUUACCAUAAACUUAUUGUUAAGAGCAAGAAAGUCUUAAAAAUUUGGACCUAGGCUGCCAGCAGCUGGGCCUGUAAGUAAAAAAUUUCAUAUACGGUUAUUUCAAUCAAGAAAAUCUUUCUUUAUAUUUUCACGGUCUUGAACUUCUUAGUGUGUUACAUUAUCUAUCUCUAAAUUUAAACAACAACUUUUCUAAUCUUAUUGUUUAUAUCAUUGCAGCUUGAUAUUGCGGUAAUAGUGUCUUUGCUGCUCAGCCUUUCAUUUCGUUUUAGACAGUGCAUCCAAGAAGCUGCAAUUUGCUUCCUUCAACACAAACAGGAGGUUUUAAACACUAUCAAGAAAGACUUGAGCAAACUAAAGCUUCCAAGAAAGACCUCAAGUUUCGUCUGCGCUUUACUUUAAGCACAACACUGCAUUAGGGCUGCCUUACCGAGUUCUGAUUGAUACUAAUUUCAUCAAUUUCUCCAUCCAAAAUAAAAAUCAGAGGAGUUGAAGCUGCAUGUGUGAAACAAUAAAUGGAGGAGAGGAGAGAAAGUUGGAUUUGGAGACCGGAAUGAUGAACUGCUUAUAUGCAAAAUGUAAGUUCUGAUGCCACUCUUUAUUCUUGAAUUUAUUGCUCUUUUAUGUUUCAUGUCUUUAUAAUAACCAUAGUGAUGCAGAGAACUAGCUUUUGAGCAAGUGGGUUAUAUGGUCAUCAGUUGUUCCUCGGUUCAAGUUCCUUAUUUUGUGGGAACUACAUCAUUAUCUACUCAAGAAUGCAUUUUUUGCUAUUUCUAUUUGUCCAGUGAUAGAAUUAUAGAACUCGCUUUAGUAUUAUAAUAUCCCUGUAAUAACAAUAACAUUAAAUUAGAAAAUUGUUUUACUGAUUUUGGUUCUGAA